rnacentral:rRNA from 1 species
GUGUGUUCCAGGUAAAUCCGGUUCACUUUAACACUGAGGCGUGACGACGAGGCACUACGGUGCUGAAGCAACAAAUGCCCUGCUUCCAGGAAAAGCCUCUAAGCAUCAGGUAACAUCAAAUCGUACCCCAAACCGACACAGGUGGUCAGGUAGAGAAUACCAAGGCGCUUGAGAGAACUCGGGUGAAGGAACUAGGCAAAAUGGUGCCGUAACUUCGGGAGAAGGCACGCUGACACGUAGGUGAAGUGAUUUACUCAUGGAGCUGAAGUCAGUCGAAGAUACCAGCUGGCUGCAACUGUUUAUUAAAAACACAGCACUGUGCAAACACGAAAGUGGACGUAUACGGUGUGACGCCUGCCCGGUGCCGGAAGGUUAAUUGAUGGGGUCAGCGCAAGCGAAGCUCCUGAU